rnacentral:rRNA from 1 species
UGGGGAAUAUUGGACAAUGGGGGCAACCCUGAUCCAGCAAUGCCGCGUGUGUGAAGAAGGCCUUCGGGUUGUAAAGCACUUUUAUCGGGAACGAAACAUUGUCGGCCAAUACCCGGCAAGACUGACGGUACCCGAGGAAUAAGCACCGGCUAACUCCGUGCCAGCAGCCGCGGUAAUACGGAGGGUGCAAGCGUUAAUCGGAAUUACUGGGCGUAAAGCGUGCGCAGGCGGUUUGUUAAGUCCGCUGUGAAAUCCCCGAGCUCAACUUGGGAAUUGCAGUGGAUACUGGCAGGCUGGAGUACGGUAGAGGAAGGUGGAAUUCCCGGUGUAGCAGUGAAAUGCGUAGAGAUCGGGAGGAACACCAGUGGCGAAGGCGGCCUUUCUUGGACCAGUACUGACGCUCAUGCACGAAAAGC